rnacentral:rRNA from 1 species
GACGAACGCUGGCGGCGUGCUUAACACAUGCAAGUCGAGCGGUAAGGCCCUUUCGGGGGUACACGAGCGGCGAACGGGUGAGUAACACGUGGGUGACCUGCCCUCAGCUCUGGGACAAGCCUGGGAAACCGGGUCUAAUACUGGAUAUGACUCCAUGACGCAUGUUGUGGGGUGGAAAGCCUUGUGCGGCUGAGGAUGGGCCCGCGGCCUAUCAGCUUGUUGGUGGGGUGANGGCCUACCAAGGCGACGACGGGUAGCCGGCCUGAGAGGGCGACCGGCCACACUGGGACUGAGACACGGCCCAGACUCCUACGGGAGGCAGCAGUGGGGAAUCUUGCGCAAUGGGCGAAAGCCUGACGCAGCGACGCCGCGUGAGGGAUGACGGCCU